rnacentral:rRNA from 1 species
UAUGCUUAAGGAGGGGCUUGCGACACAUUAGUUAGUUGGUAGGGUAAAGGCCUACCAAGACUAUGAUGUGUAGCUGGACUGAGAGGUUGAACAGCCACAUUGGGACUGAGACACGGCCCAAACUCCUACGGGAGGCAGCAGUAGGGAAUUUUCGGCAAUGGAGGAAACUCUGACCGAGCAACGCCGCGUGAACGAUGAAGUACCUCGGUAUGUAAAGUUCUUUUAUUAAGGAAGAAAAAAGAGUGGAAAAACUCCCUUGACGGUACUUAAUGAAUAAGCCCCGGCUAAUUAUGUGCCAGCAGCCGCGGUAAUACAUAAGGGGCGAGCGUUAUCCGGAAUUAUUGGGCGUAAAGGGUGCGUAGGCGGUUUAAUAAGUCUAUAGUUUAAUUUCAGUGCUUAACGCUGUUGUGCUAUAGAAACUGUUUUACUAGAGUGAGAUAGAGGCAAGCGGAAUUCCAUGUGUAGCGGUAAAAUGCGUAAAUAUAUGGAGGAACACCAGAGGCGUAGGCGGCUUGCUGGGUCUUUACUGACGCUGAGGCACGAAAGCGUGGGGAGCAAACAGGAUUAGAUACCCUGGUAGUCCACGCCGUAAACGAUGAGUACUAAGUGUCGGGUAAAACUGGUACUGAAGUUAACACAUUAAGUACUCCGCCUGAGUAGUACGUACGCAAGUAUGAAACUUAAAGGAAUUGACGGGACUCCGCACAAGCGGUGGAUCAUGUUGUUUAAUUCGAAGAUACACGAAAAACCUUACCAGGUCUUGACAUUUUCUUGCGAAGUUAUAGAAAUAUAAUGGAGGUCAUCAGGAAAACAGGUGGUGCAUGGUUGUCGUCAGCUCGUGUCGUGAGAUGUUAGGUUAAGUCCUAAAACGAGCGCAACCCUUGUCGUUAGUUGCCAGCAUGUAACGAUGGGGACUUUAACGAGACUGCCAAUGAAAAAUUGGAGGAAGGUGGGGAUUACGUCAAAUCAUCAUGCCCCUUAUGAUCUGGGCUACAAACGUGAUACAAUGGUUGAUACAAAGAGUAGCUGAAACGCGAGUUCUUAGCCAAUCUCAAAAAAUCAAUCUCAGUUCGGAUUGAAGUCUGCUAA